AUGGACAAGACCCAAGAGCCCCCGGCCAUGACUGUCCACCUGCUGGCCAGCUCUGGGCAGGGUGCGCUCCUGCAACAAGCUCUGGACCAGCUCCUGGGCUGCCUUUGCCCAGAGGUCCGUCUCUUUAUGGUGUCAGAGCGGGUCAGUGCCGUGAAAAACUAUGACAAGUGCCACCCCAAGCGGUCCCGGUUCCCAGGGAUGUCUGUUCUGCUCUUCCUGCACCACAGCCGCGGAGAGGAGCGGCUGCUUCGAGUUCUCCACUUGCUGCGGCAGUGGCCCUGGCAGUGCUACCCCACCCUGAGCCUGCAGAGCGGCCCGUGUCCCUACAGUCUCGCGGGCCAGGAGUUCUACACUCUGGACAACCACAUGCCCGUCUGGGGCGUGAGGCAGGUGCACUGCGGCACCGAGGUCCUGCGGGUGACGCUCUACUGCACCUUUGAUAACUACGAAGAUGCCAUCAGCCUCUACGAGAUGAUCCUGCAGAGGGAAGCCACCCCGCAGAAGAGCAACUACUGUUUCUUCGUGCUCUACGCCACCGAGAGCUUCGCCCUGCAGCUGUCCCUGAAGCAGCUGCCCCUCGGAAUGUCGGUGGACCCCAAAGAGUCGUCGGUACUGCAGUUCAAGGUCCAAGAGAUUGGCCAGUUAGUGCCUCUCCUCCCCCAUCCGUGCGUCCCCAUCAGCCGCACCAGGUGGCAAACGCAGGACUACGAUGGCAACAAGAUUCUGCUUCAGAUCCAAUCGAAUCCAGGACUUGGUGUUAGGAACAGCGAGCUUUCCUUUCUGAAUGGCAACCCCGAGGCUGACAUGCUUCCCCAGGGAUCCAGGGUGACCCCGGUCUCCACAAGGAGGACCCUAGAGCUGAGAAGGCGAAGGAGCCGGGGCAGAAGGUUCAAAGCGGCUUCUCUGGAAUUUCCGGAGUCCAGUGGGAGCCCAGCAUCAGACAGCUCUCGUGGCACCUUGUGGAGAAGCCCUAGCUGCUCAUCCCAGGUCAGCAGCCCAGCUACAGAUGCCCAACUGCCUCUGUGUUCUUCCCACCUUGAACCCGGAGCCAGAAUGAAGGUCUUUGGUUGGGAAAACGGCUUUGAGAAGCUGGAGGCAGAGACCAAUGUCGACACAGGGCGCACCGUGGUCAACUCUGAACCCAGGAAAUCAUUUCUGAGCAGGUUUCCGAGGGAUCUGCAGACCAGCCAGCCACCACCAGCCUCCUCCUUAGGGGCAGCUGCCUCCAAAAACAACAAAAACUUGAAGGAAAGCAUCCAUCCUUUGUCACUUGCUGGCCAACGGGACCUUGAUGCAAGGAAGAUAAUCUCAAAAUGUCUUCAUCUGCCAGUUCAGGGUGAAGAAAAAGAAGGAGAAGAAGAAUUCUUUAUAUAGUAUAAAACAAUGUGGUUUUCUAAGAUACAAGAUCAAAUACAAUGUUCCAGAAAUGGAGCACUCUUUCUUGUUCAUCUGAGGGGGCCUGUAUGCUAGCCAUGCACAGAUUAAAGGUAGAUCUUAAAAAGUGGAUGAAGAACUUAACUUUGGUAUGGUUUUCUAUAAUAACAUUUAAAAAAUGAAAGUCUUAUUUAAGUUGAACUGUUGAGCUUCUUUGAAAAGCCCAGCAGGGGGGGGGGUGUUCUGACAUUUCAUUCCCACCUUUAACAGGUUACCUAAAUUUCUUUAACAUAAUACAUGGGUAAGAAUAUAAGUGCAUGGAAAUCAUGAGAAUAUUGCAAAAUUUGAAUGAGUACCUUAUAAAAUUGACUUGUAAAAUAAAACACUCUUCAAAUAUCACCUACUCUAUUCUGCUCAACGUAGGAAUCCAAUUUACAGCGUGAUAGGUUGAAAAUGCCAGUGGGUGAGGUGGGAGAGGCCCAAAUUUUGGUUUCAAGCUUUAAAAUUUACUAUUUAUGUGACCUUGAACUGUCAGCCUCUUUGAUCCCCUGUUUCCUUAACUAUAGUAAGGAAAGGUUGUUAGAAGAAUCAAGAUUAUGUAUAUGAAAGCAUUUGGAUAUUGCCAAGCAUUAUGAAUAUGCAAGACGGUAUUAGUACAGGGUCCUUCAGACCCACACUUUUAAAAUGUCAUGGCGACAAAGGAUUUUUUGAAA